rnacentral:rRNA from 1 species
GAGUGGACUCCUACGGGAGGCAGCAGUGGGGAAUAUUGCACAAUGGGGGAAACCCUGAUGCAGCGACGCCGCGUGAGCGAAGAAGGUUUUCGAAUCGUAAAGCUCUGUCCUAUGAGAAGAUAAUGACGGUAUCAUAGGAGGAAGCCCCGGCUAAAUACGUGCCAGCAGCCGCGGUAAUACGUAUGGGGCGAGCGUUGUCCGGAAUUAUUGGGCGUAAAGGGUACGUAGGCGGCCUUUUAAGUCAGGUGUGAAAGCGUGAGGCUUAACCUCAUUAAGCACUUGAAACUGGAAGGCUUGAGUGAAGGAGAGGAAAGUGGAAUUCCUAGUGUAGCGGUGAAAUGCGUAGAUAUUAGGAGGAAUACCGGUGGCGAAGGCGACUUUCUGGACUUUUACUGACGCUCAGGUACGAAAGCGUGGGGAGCAAACAGGAUUAGAUACCCUUGUAGUCCGA